UGGGGAAUCUUCCGCAAUGGACGAAAGUCUGACGGAGCAACGCCGCGUGAGUGAUGACGGUCUUCGGAUUGUAAAGCUCUGUUAAUCGGGACGAAUGGUUUGUGUGCAAAUAGUGCAUAGACAUGACGGUACCGGAAUAGAAAGCCACGGCUAACUACGUGCCAGCAGCCGCGGUAAUACGUAGGUGGCAAGCGUUGUCCGGUAUUAUUGGGCGUAAAGCGCGCGCAGGCGGACUAGCCAGUCAGUCUUAAAAGUUCGGGGCUUAACCCCGUGAUGGGAUUGAAACUACUAGUCUAGAGUAUCGGAGAGGAAAGUGGAAUUCCUAGUGUAGCGGUGAAAUGCGUAGAUAUUAGGAAGAACACCAGUGGCGAAGGCGACUUUCUGGACGAACACUGACGCUGAGGCGCGAAAGCCAGGGGAGCGAACGGG
rnacentral:rRNA from 1 species